rnacentral:miRNA from 1 species
AAGUGAGAUAGAAGUGGAGUGGUA